rnacentral:lncRNA from 10 species
AGUAUGGAGAUUUAUUGCAAAGGGAAAUGUACACACUCAAGAAAAGAGGGUGUGAGUAGCAGUGGGGCUGCUACAUUUCUGUUUUGUUUUUUUUUUUUAAAGCAAGCUAUGAAAUAUUUAUGAAGAUUCCUGAAAAAAGGCAGAGUUCUCAGACCUGUGGUGCCAUUCAUUUUUACAUCAAAUAUGGAUCCUCCUGGAACUGUUAUGGUGCUGGUCGGUCAGAAGACUUUCACUGGAGAUAUCCCUCCCUAUGCCUGGAAGAAAGGAAUAUUCUUAUCUCUGAAGACAUUGGGAAACACAAUAAUAGCUGAAAAACAGGCCUUGCUAACUUCUCUCCAGUUUAUUAUUAGAUGAUACAUUUUUAUCCAAUCAUAUUUCUCCAUCACUACCCACUUCUCCAUCAGAACUAGCCUUAAAAUGCAUAGGUUUACAUAUUUUUUAGUCUUCAUUUCCACAGUUCCCUUGUCACACUAAAACUAUAUUAAGUAAAUUUAUAUGUUUUUCUCUUGUCCAUUUGUCUUUUGUUAUAGGGGCUCAAC